AAUUGAUUUAAUUAAAAUAUUAUAACCUUGCCAAGGUUGGGGUCGCGAGUUCGAGUCUCGUUUCCCGCUCCA
rnacentral:tRNA from 1 species